rnacentral:rRNA from 1 species
GAUGAACGCUAGCGGCAGGCUUAAUACAUGCAAGUCAAGGGGGUAGCAAUACAACCGGCGCACGGGUGAGUAACGCGUACACAACAUGCCAUAUACUGGGGUAUAGCUUUGGGAAACUGAAGGUAAUCCCCCAUAACAUUGCGAGAGGGCAUCUGAUUGCAAUUAAAGUUUCGGCGGUAUAUGAUUGGUGUGCGUUUGAUUAGCUAGUUGGUAGGGUAACGGCCUACCAAGGCGACGAUCAAUAGCUGGCGUGAGAGCGCGACCAGCCACACUGGAACUGAGACACGGUCCAGACUCCUACGGGAGGCAGCAGUAGGGAAUAUUGGACAAUGGAGGAAACUCUGAUCCAGCCAUGCCGCGUGAUAGAUGAAGGCCCUCUGGGUUGUAAAUAUCUUUAUCUGGGAAGAAACUCCUCUAUUCUUAGAGGCCUGACGGUACCAGAGGAAUAAGCACCGGCUAACUCCGUGCCAGCAGCCG